GUCCACGCCGUAAACGAUGUCAACUAGCCGUUGGGUCUUUUGUUAGACUUAGUGGCGCAGCUAACGCAUUAAGUUGACCGCCUGGGGAGUACGGCCGCAAGGUUAAAACUCAAAUGAAUUGACGGGGGCCCGCACAAGCGGUGGAGCAUGUGGUUUAAUUCGAUGCAACGCGAAGAACCUUACCUACCCUUGACAUGUCGAGAAUCUUUCAGAGAUGAGAGAGUGCCUUCGGGAACUCGAACACAGGUGCUGCAUGGCUGUCGU
rnacentral:rRNA from 1 species